GCCGGGUGCGGUGGCUCACACCUGUAAUCCCAGCUCUUUGGGAGGCCGAGGUGGGGGGAUCACUUGAGGUCAGGAGUUCAAGACCAGCCUGACCAACAUGGUGAAACCCCAUCUCUA
rfam:Pan troglodytes isolate Yerkes chimp pedigree #C0471 (Clint) chromosome 16, whole genome shotgun sequence.